GUGCAUCCUUCCUAUCCCCAGAAUCCCUCAAUCCACCUGCAGCCACGCUGGCUCCUGCAUCCCUCCAUCUCUCCUUUCAUCCCUCCCUGCAUCCUCCCCAGGCUGGUGGGCCGCACCCGGCACUCCCACAUUCCCUCUGCAAUAGCCACACAAGCAUUUAACACAGUGCACUGCUUACGGUUACACAAAUCCCCCUUUCCUCAUUUCCUCCACAUUUACUUCAAGGGCAACAACUGGAAAAAAAGUUCUUCCUGCGCGCAAACAGCCCGUUUGAGGGCGAUAAACAAACAGCGCAGCCCCGCAGCUCACACGCAGCCGUGCUCUCCCCAUUCACAGCCCCCACCGCAUCCCGCAGCCCGGGGCACCCCGACCCCCACUCUCCCCGGCCCUGCAGCCGCCCACCGCCUCCAAGUUUGCCCGGGGAGCCGUCCCAGCCCCGCAGAGCCGGGGAAGCCCCGGCCGUCGCUCUGCACGGCCCCCAGCCCUCCCGGCGAACCCCGGCUGCCGCCUGGCCCCGGUGCCGGCCCCUUCGCCGGCGCCUCCCCACAGCGGCCCCGCGCUGAGUGGAGCGAAGCGGCGAGGCGGGACGGGCCGGGGACGGCGGACAGCCCUCGCUUCCCUCGGCGCCCACCUGCUCGCGGUGCCGCUGCCGGUGUCGCCGGGGCCGGGACCGGCGCGCUCCUCCCCGGGCAGAGGGCGCCAGAUCAGAAGUGGAUUUCAGGGGAGCAAGCUACAAGAAACACAAAAAAGCUGAUUUCUUCUUCUGUUCCUAUGACUUUGCCAUUGGGUUCCAAAAUCUCCUUACUUCCCAGGGGCAUAGGCGGAAAGUGUACAAGUGCUCACUUCCCAGUACUGAAUCCAAAGACACUCCUGGAAUGAGCAGUGCUACUGGAAGAGGCCAAGCUGUUUUGUGAAGGCUAGUGUGAUGAAAUCCAAUUAAAACAAAUGAAAUAAAAAUGUGUAUCACUCAAGAGAAGACCCCUUC
rnacentral:lncRNA from 1 species